rnacentral:lncRNA from 13 species
AUGUUGCUGUGGGGAUCGCUUCCCCAGAGCGUGAGCAGUACAUUGAGUUCAUUUUCCCUCCUUCUCAAUGGCCAACUGCGCAGAGGUUUUGAGCCAAACCAGAGAAAAGAACACACACACACACACACACACACACACACACACAAAUUCCUCGAAAAAGAAAGAGAAGUGGGGGAGGGAGGGAAGAACCACGAAGGGAAGAAAAAAGGGAAAGGUGAAGAGGAACAGAGAAAGAGGAGGGAGGAAGGAGAGAGAGAAUGGAGAGAAAGAGAGAGGAGGAGGAGGAGAAGGAAGAGAGGAGGCGGGGGAGAGAGAAAGCAAGAGAGGAAAAAACAUGGCGCUUGCGAGCUGUAUGUGCAAAAUCCGCAAGGAAUUGCAGUAAAUUCCUUUUUGUUUGAAGAAAAUUUACAACUUGGUAAUAGACCUUUUUAUGACCUAUUUGCGGUCGUCAUUGGCUGCGGCUGGUCAUGUGCAGGCGCCGCUCUCCUUCACGGCCUUUUUCCUGAUUUCCCAGGCGAAUUUCCCCCCGCAUUCUGCUAUCCCAGAGCCUCACCCCGUCUUUUUCUAACCUUUGUCUCUGCAGAGGUGGGCUCCAGUCGCCGGCUGCGGGAUUGCGGAGUCCGCGGCAGACUCGGCUUCCGCCCUGGCCCCACCGCAGCUCACUCGGUCUGCACCGCUACCACCUCCGGAGCUGGUGGGGAGCCUGGCGGGGGAAGGCCUGGAAGGGGCCCUAGGCGCCGAGCCCCCCGCCGGCGCCGAUACCGCCUGCCGGGAGCAACUGGCCUGCUUGGGGCGACUGCAGCCGCGCGGUUGCGACGCGGCUUCUUCUCCAACAUGAGCGAGUCCCUGCUGCGGAGAGUGCGCGCCGCAGGGCAGCGCCUAGUGGAUUACAGCAGCCGCCGGGACCGACCGCCGCCUGCAGCAAGGCAGCUUUCGGGUAAGAGUCCCUCCUCCCCGCGCCCGAGCUUUCCAUCAAGAAGCCUAAGGCGCCGACCCCCUUGGGCAGCUCGGGGAGUCCACCUGCUCCCCUACAUUUCCCAGGGAACUAGGGGUCGUUGUCUAAGCCCCUUCCCCCAAUCACUUCGUUGUUAG